UGAGCAAUCUGCCCUUCUCAUCGGAAUAAGCGUUGGAAACGACGUCUAAUGCCGAAUACGACCUCCUUUCGCAUGAUCGGAGGUGGAAAGCUCCGGCGGAGAAGGAUGAGCUCGCGGCCUAUCAGCUAGUUGGUGAGGUAAUGGCUCACCAAGGCGACGACGGGUAGCCGGCCUGAGGAGGGUGACCGGCCACACGUGGGACUGAGACACGGCCCAGACUCCGUAGGGAGG
rnacentral:rRNA from 1 species